rnacentral:pre_miRNA from 1 species
AUAAUACUCCCUCCGUCCCAUAUUAAGUGACUUUCUAUUACAUGUAUCUAGACGCUUUUUAGGCAUAGAUACAUCCAUAUUUGAGCAAAUUUGAGUCACUUAAUAUGGGACAGAGGGAGUAGUAG